AGCGGCGGUUGAAUUGCCAUGGCAAUGCGGUGGGCGCGCGCUUGUCGUGUUGGUCUCUUGGGAGGUAGCGGGGCUAGGCCGGGCGGGUAUCCGCCUCUCCCAGCUUAGGUGAGCGUCCCCGGGCGCCUCCGGAGCGCCGCGGCCGCAUGCAGUUCGUCGUGGCGGGGAGCCGGAGCCUGACCGGGGUUCCAGCGCUCGGGCCGUAGCCUUGGCUCCUGGACUUUCCCUGGCUCCGCCGCCACGUGGGAGCUGAGGCUCUGGGGCUUCCGCCUCCGGCGCGCGAUUAUUUCUCUAGAACAGUUUUCAUUUUUAAAAUUUGUAAAGCGCUUUUGCCUGUGUGAUUUCCUCUGGGUUUUUUUUUUUUUUCUUCCUUUUUGUAGAGACGGAAUUGGCGGCGGGGGCGGGGGGUCGAUGUCUCACUUUUUUGCCCAGGCUGGUCUCGAACUCCUGGCUUCAAGGGAUCCUCCUGCCUCGGCCUCUUAAAGUGCUGGGAUUACAGGCGUGAGCCACCGCCCCCGGCCGCCUCUGAGUUUCCAGCCUCGUUGGCCCUCCAGCCUUUUAACCUGUUGGGCCUAGGAUCAGGAAAGGUUUGUUGAAUGGGGAACUAAGAAGUGAAUUCGUUCGUUCGACAAACGUUUCCUGAGCAGCCGCUGGGUGCUAGGCGCAGUGCCAGCGCGGAAUGUCCAGGGAGACCUGGUGCCCAAAGCUUGGACCCAUCGUGAGAAAUGAGAAGCAGAUACAAAGCAGUGUGGGAGUGCAGAGGAGACAAAGCAAGCCUCAUCAGGCCCAUUGCUUGCUCUGCUCUCCCUUGUACUUACCAGUGCUUGACAAUAUACAGUUAUUUACUAGCUUGGUUAUUGACUUCCUACCCAGCACUCAGUUUUAUUCACUGCUGUAUCCUCAGUGCCUAGGACGAUGCUUGGAACGUGGUAAGUGCUCCUAUUGGCGGGAAGAAUAAAUCCGGAAGAGCAGGACCAGUGGACUUGCUACAUAAUCUGUAGUCUUGGAGCCGCACAGGGUUGGUGGUACCCUCGAGCACACCAGACUUGCAGAAAAAGCAUACUCCAGAGGAAGCUGAGGCAUGCCUGCUCGAGAGCCAGCUGUUCCAUGUGCAAUUUUCCUCUGAUAGUUUCUGGUCACUGUUGCCACGGUGAUAAUGACUGGGCUAUGUCAUUAUCUAUCCGCCAACAGUAAGAGAAGCUUUGCAGUCGAGAUAUUGUUUAGCAGAUGGAGUGUUUUCUGUUGAACACUAAGUACUGCCACAAGUUACUUUUUUUUUUUUAAACUUUGAGUAUUUUUUUACAAUGUUGCUGGAGGUGAUCUGUUUAUGCUUUGAGAGUGUUCGAAUUUAAAAUCAGAAAAUCAUGUCAGUGAGUGAGUCUUUCAAAUAAUCCUUCGGCAUGAAACCUGAGCCUAGUAAACUAUGAAAGUAAACUCGGCACAUUACCCGAAAGUCUCAAUGUCAUAUUUUCACCCCCAUCAAUAUUAUUGAUGAUUGCUCAUUUUCUAAUGUGGGACCUGAAAUUUACCAGGUGCUUAAAGAAUCUUUUUGUUUUUCAGAUUCAUUGAUUCCAGGUAAAUCAGAGGAACAAGCAACAUGAACAGAAAUAUGUAGAAAAAGCUAUUAUGCAGAAGCAUAAUUGUUGUUUCAGAAGUCCAGCAUCUGGUGCACUUAACAAUAGAGAAUAUAUUAAACUCUUUCCAAAAUAA
rnacentral:lncRNA from 10 species